rnacentral:lncRNA from 1 species
UAUUUGGUGAGUGAAGCCAACGAAGUUCAGCUGAACAACCAACACAACAUAACAGAGACCGAAGCUUUUGGUCUAGUGCUGCACAUGCUGUGCAGUGCUAGCUGUGCACCUGUACAAGAAGUCGAGAGAUUUUUCAGGGGGCGAAACGUGUUUUGAAUUUGAAAACUGUCUUCUUUCUUGCAGUACAAUGGCGAUUUAUAGCUACCCAGCCCUUUUCCUCCUGCUUUCCCAGCACCAGUGGUUAUUAUGCAGAAAUGGAAAUCUUCACAAUCACCACAAUGGUAGCUCCAGCUCCUGGUUAUUAUGCAGAGAUGAGAAUCUUCACCACCAACAAUGGUAGCUCUGGCUCCUGGUUAAUAUGCAGAGAUUGGGAAUCUUUACCACCACCAAUGGUAGCUCUGGCUCCUGGUUAUUAUUCAAAGAUGGAGAAUCUUCACCACCACCAAUGGUAGCUCUGGCUCCUGGUUAUUAUGCAGAGAUGGAGAAUCUUCACCACCACCAAUAGUAGCUCUGGCUCCUGGUUAUUAUGCAGAGAUGGAGAAUCUUCACCACCACCAAUGGUAGCUCCGGCUCCUGGUUAUGCAGAGAUGGAGAAUCUUCACGGAGAGAGAUGAUGCUAUAGAAUAGGCAGAGAAACUGCAGGUUGGAUGAAUACGUGUCAAGGACAAGGUGGUAGCUGUCAGCAAUCAGCCAUUAAUGGAUAUGGCUGUGAAAGAAACCCAGGCUGUUACAAGAAUCAGUAUAAACAGGCACAGACUGCUAUCCAAGAGAGCAAAUCCCUGGAAUCAAGGGUUCAUCUGGAUGUCAUCAGAAGUCACCCAACAUGAAGCAAGCAAUAUGGACAAGGUUAUGAAGAAGUCAUUGUCAUGCUGGAGGAAUUCCAUGACAUUUGCUCCAGCAACAAUUGCUCAGUUUUAAAUUCUACACAUGAAACAAUGGACUUAAACUUCAACCCUGGAUUUAACACUUAACCCCUACCCCUUUAGAACCUAUUCUUAAACCUAACAUAAAACCCUAUUGCAAACCUAACCCUAACCCUGCAUAUUACAUAAAACGAAGUCCGGAGCAAUUGUUGCAGGAGCAUAUGUCUUGUCACCACUGGAAGAUGGACUCGACAAACUCAGUCAAAGGUCAAGAAAAUUAUCAGAAAUAUGCUGCAAGAUCCAGUGCUUUACCUCAUGGCUGAGAGGAGGCUUAUACAGCUGAUAGAUGACAGUGCUUUUGAAAUCAUGUCCCUUGGUGUACAACAUGGAUGCACCCCCUAUCUGGGAAAGUCUACCAGAGCUAAAGAUGUGACACCAAUCUUGACAUCAUCAUCUGCACUGAAUGUCUGGUGUGAUCAUUUGUUGGUACAAACAUGGACAUGAUGUAUAAUCUACCUGUAUAGAAAGACAGCCUGAUCAGGCAGACCAAUUGUUAUAUCCUUUGAAACAUACAACAAAGGAACCUAUUUGUAAAUACCUCUUUCACUUAUCUCUGAGGGCAGGGGCGGAUACAGGAUUUUCCAAAAGGGGGGGGGGCAAAUUUUUCGGAGGAAAAUUUUGACAAGCCCCCCCCCACAAAAAAAAAAUGGUUUUCAACAACAAAUUAAGUUUCAGUGGCAUUUUUACAUUACAAAUUUUUAUUUUAAUUCUCAAAGGAGGGGGGGGGGGCACAUGCCCCCUGUAUCCCCCCCCUGGAUUCUGGCCUGUCCGAGGGAGGUGACUACCAGGGACUGGUACUUUGACACCAGGUAUUAUUUACACACUUUGUUUUUGGUGCUCAACUUAUGUACCCAGUACUUAAUAUGGAAAUUUCCUACCAUGCAAAUCAAAUUGAAUUAACCAAGAUUUCAUGCAUUCACUACUAAUGAUUCAGGGUAGGAAAUGGUGUUUAUUUUUAGGGGCUAUUUUUGUCCACAAAUAAGAUGAUUGCUCACUUUGAGGGGCUAUUUCUUUCAUAUUAAAAGCUACAUUAUUGUGCAAAAAGCACUUAUGUUGCAAAAGCAUUUCUCAUCAUUCAAGAUUAUCGCCACAAAGUGUUCAAUUUUGUGAAUUAAUAGGGAAUUUUCCAACACUGUCAUGAACCCAUCUUUAGGUAUUUUAUGAUGACUUUUGUGUAUCUCAAAGGAGCAGGUCCAAGCUAUUAUCUCUGAACAGUGAUUUUCAGUUUAAAUU